AGUAGUAUUUAUCCUAAUUCUUGUAUUAUUAUUUUGAUAUUCUAUUUUCCCCAUCUACACAUAUUUUCCAACAAUCUAAGAAACCAUGACAAAUAAUAAUACUUCUGAAACUAUUUCUGACACUACCAAUGUCGUUGCUACCCCUGUUUCUCCAGUUCCAAUUGUCCUACCAUAUGCCAAACAAUUGCCCGAUGAGUCAAAUAUUGAUAUUUUUGCAAAUGAAAAUUUCAAAAGGUGGAAGAACAUGUUUUUUCAUUGCUCGAUGUUCAUGGCGUUGCACAUGUAUAAUUACAUCCACAACUGGUCCAGACGUUGAUAACAAAAUUAUGGAAUCAUGAUGACAACAUGCUAACAAGGUAUGUCGUCAUACUAUAUUACAAACUAUUUCUAACAUACUUUUUGAUGUAUACUGUAGCUACAAAGAAGCAAAAGUUAUUUGGGAAGCCUUAAUUAAGUAGUUCACUGCAGAAGAUGCUACCAAACAAAAGUUUGUGGUCGAAAGAUUUUACCAAUGCCAGAUGAGUAAUGAAAGGAGAUGAAAAUUCAAAUCAAUGAAUAUCAAAAAUUGCUUGAAGACUUGAAGGCCGAGGAGAUCAUUCUACCAGAAAAACUUGUUGUUGGAGUGUUGAUUGAGAAAUAGCCGGACUCAUGAAAUGAUUACAAUAAUAACUUAAAGCAUAAGCAAACAAAUUUCACUAUUAAGAAAAUAGUGAUUCACAUUCUAAUCGAAGACACCAACAGAAAGGAGUCAUUCAAAGCAAAGAAGUAGGCAUUCAAAGCAAACUUAGUACAAGGUCAUAACAUCAACAACAAAAGGAGGAGAAUAAAAAAUGACAAAGAAAAGGAUUAUCCUCCUAAGGCUAAUUUAGCUGAAGGAGAUGAAAUUAUUGCAGGUGUCAUUUCUCAAGUAAAUAUUGUAGCACAUGUAAAAGAAUGGGUGGUAUUCUCUGGGGCUACUCGGCACAUUUGUACAAAUCGAGAAGCAUUUGCCUCCUAUAUAUUGAUAGGGGAUGACAAUGAAGUAGUCUACCUUGAAGACUCAAGAACUAUUAAAGUGUUGAGUAAGGGUAAAGUGCUCUUGAAACUUACUUCAGGAAAAACUUUAGCCCUUAUGGAUGUACUACAUGUUCCUACAAUGCGUCCUGAUUUCUGUAGCCUUGCUUAAUAAAGUUAGAGUGAAAGUGUCAUUUGAAUGUGAAAAAGAUCAUAUUGACCAAAAAUAAUGUGUUUGUGGGAAAAGACUAUUGCAAACUAGGGAUUUUUGUACUUUAUGUUUGUAAUGUUGUGAAUGAAAAAACAUCCAUUUCUACUUA